AGAGUUGAUCCUGGCUCAGGAUGAACGCUGGCGGCGUGCCUAAUACAUGCAAGUCGAGCGCGGGAAUGAGGAGCUUGCUCCUCGGCCCCGAGCGGCGGACGGGUGAGUAACACGUAGGCAACCUACCCAUCAGACCGGGAUAACCGCGGGAAACCGUGGCUAAUACCGGAUGACCCUUCCGGACAUAAGUCCUGAAGUUGAAAGGCGCUUUUGGUGCCGUUGAUGGAUGGGCCUGCGGCGCAUUAGCUGGUUGGUGGGGUAACGGCUCACCAAGGCGACGAUGCGUAGCCGACCUGAGAGGGUGAUCGGCCACACUGGGACUGAGACACGGCCCAGACUCCUACGGGAGGCAGCAGUAGGGAAUCUUCCGCAAUGGACGCAAGUCUGACGGAGCAACGCCGCGUGAGUGAAGAAGGGUUUCGGCUCGUAAAACUCUGUUGUUAAGGAAGAAUGUCAGUGAGAGUAACUGCUCAUUGAGUGACGGUACUUAACCAGAAAGCCACGGCUAACUACGUGCCAGCAGCCGCGGUAAUACCGUAGGGGUGCAAGCGUUAAUCGGAAAUUACUGGGGCGUAAAGCGUGCGCAGGCGGUUUUGGCAAGAAAAGGUGUGAAAUCCCAGGGCUUUAACCUUGGGAACUGCAACUUUUUAACUUGCCAGGCU
rnacentral:rRNA from 1 species